UUGAGGGCAAUCUGGCUGCGACAUCUGUGACUCCAUCGAUCAUGAGGGUUGAUUCAGCUGAUUUGAUUGGCUAGGCAGGUGUCCCCUUCCUCCCUUACUGCUUUAUGUGUGUCCCCUCCAAAGCUCAGUCAAAGAGGAUGACCUUUCCCAAAUAGAGGAGGAUGGGUCUUUGGUCAAGGACAUAGAAAUAGUUAUAUUCCCCUACUAGAAUCUCCAAACAAUCUCUCAAGAGUAACAUUUUUAUAGCCUUGAUGCUUCAGUAUUUACUGUUUUACCAAGUGUCAUAAGAGUAAGGUUGCCUGCUUCCUUCU
ensembl:misc_RNA 7SK 7SK RNA